AUUGAACGCUGGCGGCAGGCCUAACACAUGCAAGUCGAACGGUAACAGGAAGCAGCUUGCUGCUUUGCUGACGAGUGGCGGACGGGUGAGUAAUGUCUGGGAAACUGCCUGAUGGAGGGGGAUAACUACUGGAAACGGUAGCUAAUACCGCAUAACGUCGCAAGACCAAAGAGGGGUACCUUCGUGCCUCUUGCCAUCGGAUGUGCCCAGAUGGGAUUAGCUAGUAGGGGGGGUAACGGCUCACCUAGGCGACGAUCCCUAGCUGGUCUGAGAGGAUGACCAGCCACACUGGAACUGAGACACGGUCCAGACUCCUACGGGAGGCAGCAGUGGGGAAUAUUGCACAAUGGGCGCAAGCCUGAUGCAGCCAUGCCGCGUGUAUGAAGAAGGCCUUCGGGUCGUAAAGUACUUUCAGCGGGGAGGAAGGGAGUAAAGUUAAUACCUUUGCUCAUUGACGUUACCCGCAGAAGAAGCACCGGCUAACUACGUG
rnacentral:rRNA from 1 species